GCCUGGGUACCGGAGGGAGGGAGGCGGGCAGAGGAGGGGAGAUGGGCACCCCCAGUUUUUCCAUCCUCCUCAUUCGUCUAGGGGCACCCGAAUCCCCUAUUCCUUAUUUCCCCUAUCACUCAGGCACUGGCAGGGUCCUUUUCCCACUCCUGUUGGCCGCCGCGGCUCCAAAGCGAGAUGUGCCUGAGACAGGUUUGACCAGGCAACUGAAAAUAUAUCCCUAAGAGAAGACAAAACAAAGAUAUGAAAGGAACACACUUCCCUGACUGACUAGGAGGAACAGAGCUGCCUGCUGACUGGAACCGCUUCCUCCCAGACUAAGGUUUCCCAGAGGAAGAGAGAGAAUUUGGACAAAUGAAUGAGGAACAACGCUCUCCUGAGGGUUUUCUUUAAGGGGCAAGGAUCAAUGCCUCUAGAUCCUUUGAAAGCAGAGUUAAGAGGCAGUGCAGGAAGGCACAGCAGGAAGGUUCAUGGUUAGACUACAGAGAAGGAAGCAGCCACUGCUGGGGACCUACCCUGUGCUGGUCACUGACAAGCUGUCUCAUUAAACCUUCCCGGACCCUCAA
rnacentral:lncRNA from 1 species